CCUACGGGCGGCAGCAGUGAGGAAUAUUGGUCAAUGGGCGCGAGCCUGAACCAGCCAAGUAGCGUGAAGGAUGACUGCCCUACGGGUUGUAAACUUCUUUUAUAAAGGAAUAAAGUGAGGCACGUGUGCCUUUUUGUAUGUACUUUAUGAAUAAGGAUCGGCUAACUCCGUGCCAGCAGCCGCGGUAAUACGGAGGAUCCGAGCGUUAGCCGGAUUUAUUGGGUUUAAAGGGAGCGUAGAUGGGUUGUUAAGUCAGUUGUGAAAGUUUGCGGCUCAACCGUAAAAUUGCAAUUGAUACUGGGAGGCUUGAGUACAGUUGAGGUAGGCGGAAUUCGUAGUGUAGCGGUGAAAGGCGUAGAUAUUACGAAGAACUCCGAUUGCGAAGGCAGCUUACUAAACUGUAACUGACAUUGAUGCUCGAAAGUGUGGGUAUCAAACAGGAUUAGAUACCCCUGUAGUC
rnacentral:rRNA from 1 species